rnacentral:rRNA from 1 species
CAGAGGAGGUUGCGGCAAUAACAGGUCUGUGAUGCCCUCAGAUGUCCCGGGCUGCACACGUGCUACAAUGAGUGGCGCAAUGUGCUAAUGUUUAAGGGAUAAGAGUGUGGUCAGUAGAACGUCGGGAUUUCCCCUGACGUCUCCCCCGCACGAUUAUCAGCCUUCCCUUAACAGGGCGGGCAACCUUUUCAAAAUACUGGUUUGAUGUUAAAGUAUUGAGUCGUUUUUUUUGGAUGGUGGUUUGUUAACCAAUACCAUCCGGCAACUGCUCGCGAGUUUGUGGUUCUGGCGACUCAUGGUGGGGACCGACGUUUGUAAUUUUUUGUCGCGUGUUAACUAGGAAUGCCUUGUACUGUCGAUUCACUAAGUUACUGGGAAUACGUCCCUGCCCUUUGUACACACCGCCCGUCGCUCUUAC